rnacentral:rRNA from 1 species
CGGGACGGGUGAGUAACGCGUGGAGAACCUGCCGUAUACUGGGGGAUAACACUUAGAAAUAGGUGCUAAUACCGCAUAAGCGCACAGCUUCGCAUGAAGCAGUGUGAAAAACUCCGGUGGUAUACGAUGGAUCCGCGUCUGAUUAGCUGGUUGGCGGGGUAACAGCCCACCAAGGCGACGAUCAGUAGCCGGCCUGAGAGGGUGAACGGCCACAUUGGGACUGAGACACGGCCCAAACUCCUACGGAAGGCAGCAG